rnacentral:rRNA from 1 species
GACGAACCGAGCGAACGUUGUUCGGAAUCACUGGGCUUAAAGGGCGCGUAGGCGGACUAUCAAGUCUGGGGGGAAAUCCCGCGGCUCAACCGUGGAACUGCCUCAGAUACUGACGGUCUCGAGGGAGGUAGGGGCAUGCGGAACUGUAGGUGGAGCGGUGAAAUGCGUUGAUAUCUACAGGAACUCCGGUGGCGAAAGCGGCGUGCUGGACCUCUUCUGACGCUGAGGCGCGAAAGCUAGGGGAGCAAACGGG